rnacentral:rRNA from 1 species
GACGAACGCUGGCGGCGUGCUUGACACAUGCAAGUCGAACGGAAAGGCCUGCUUUCCCUUGUGGAUUGCGGGUACUCGAGUGGCGAACGGGCGAGUAACACGUGAGUGAUCUGCCCCCAACUUGUGUAUAAGCCUGGGAAACUGGGUCUAAUUACCGAUAGGACUGCAGGGUGGUGCCGGUGGUGGAAGACGAUGUUCUAGUGGUUGGGGAUGAGCUGGCGGCCUAUCAGCUUGUUGGUGGGGUAAUGGCGUACCAAGGCGGCGACGGGUAGGCGGCCUGGGAUAGCGGGCGGGAGAAUGGGGACUGAGAGACGGGGCCGACGCCUACGGGAGGCAGCAGUGGGGAGUCAGGCGUGAUGAGCGGAAGCCUGAUGCAGCGACGCCGCGGGGGGGAUGACGGCUUUCGGGUUGUAGACUCCUGUCGACAGCGAGGAAGCGACCUGGAUGGAAGGGUGGUGACGGUAGUGGGAGAAGAAGCACCGGCUAACUACGUG